UACGUAGGGUGCAAGCGUUGUUCGGAAUUAUUGGGCGUAAAGCGCGUGUAGGUGGCUAGUUAAGUUGGAUGUGAAAGCCCUGGGCUCAACCGAGGAAGUGCAUUCAAUACUGGCUGGCUAGAGGAUGGUAGAGGAAGGUGGAAUUCCAAGUGUAGAGGUGAAAUUCGUAGAUAUUUGGAGGAAUACCGGCGGCGAAGGCGGCCUUCUGGGCCAUUCCGUGACACUGAGACGCGAAAGCGUGGGGAGCAAACAGGG
rnacentral:rRNA from 1 species